rnacentral:sRNA from 1 species
GUAAACAAAGAUGGCCGCCGCUAACGUCUGUGCACAGCAUGCUGCCAGAGUGGAUUGUUUUUCGGUGUUUUGGUGAUGUUGUCUCGAUCCAAAAUACUAUUGGAAGUUAAAUCAGGUCGCCAAUAAAAGUAAGCAUCCCGAACCUUUUAUUGAAACUGAGAUGAAUUACUGUUACCAGACGAAUUUCAACAAGUCAACCGACAAAUUAUGCAGCUAUGGGUACAUUGAUGUACACAUCCACUCC